rnacentral:rRNA from 1 species
GACAGAGGUGGCAAGCGUUGUUCGGAUUUAUUGGGUGUAAAGGGUCCGUAGGUGGUCUAACAAGUCUGAUGUGAAAUCCCAUGGCUCAACCGUGGAACUGCAUUGGAAACUGUUGGACUUGAGUACCGCAGAGGUAAAGGGAAUUCCCGGUGUAAGGGUGAAAUCUGUAGAUAUCGGGAGGAACACCAGUGGCGAAGGCGCUUUACUGGGCGGUUACUGACACUGAGGGACGAAAGCAAGGGGAGCAAACAGG